rnacentral:rRNA from 1 species
CUACGGGACGCAGCAGUGAGGAAUAUUGCACAAUGGGGGGAACCCUGAUGCAGCGACGCCGCGUGGAGGAUGACGCAUUUCGGUGUGUAAACUCCUUUGAUAUGUCAAGAAAAUGACGGUAGCAUAUGAAUAAGCACCGGCUAACUCCGUGCCAGCAGCCGCGGUAAUACGGAGGGAUGCAAGCGUUACUCGGAAUCACUGGGCGUAAAGGACGCGUAGGCGGGUUGGAAAGUCAGGUGUGAAAUCCUACAGCUUAACUGUAGAACUGCACUUGAAACUUCUAAUCUAGAGUAUGGGAGGGGGAGAUGGAAUUAGUGGUGCAGGGGUAAAAUCCGUAGAUAUCACUAGGAAUACCUAAAGCGAAGGCGAUCUCCUGGAACAUUACUGACGCUAAGGCGUGAAAGCGUGGGGAGCAAACAGGAUUAGAUACCCGUGUAGUC